rnacentral:tRNA from 1 species
UACCAGGUAGCUCGUCAGGCUCAUAACCUGAAGGUCGCACGUUCAAAUCGUGCCCCCGCAA